AGGCCUUGGCCGAAUGCAUAUAUU
rnacentral:miRNA from 1 species